rnacentral:rRNA from 1 species
UACACAUGCAGUCGAACGGGAUCCAUCAGGCUUUGCUUGGUGGUGAGAGUGGCGAACGGGUGAGUAAUGCGUGACCGACCUGCCCCAUACACCGGAAUAGCUCCUGGAAACGGGUGGUAAUGCCGGAUGCUCCGACUCCUCGCAUGGGGUGUCGGGAAAGAUUUCAUCGGUAUGGGAUGGGGUCGCGUCCUAUCAGGUAGUCGGCGGGGUAACGGCCCACCGAGCCUACGACGGGUAGCCGGCCUGAGAGGGCGACCGGCCACAUUGGGACUGAGAUACGGCCCAAACUCCUACGGGAGGCAGCAGUGGGGAAUAUUGCACAAUGGGCGCAAGCCUGAUGCAGCGACGCCGCGUGCGGGAUGACGGCCUUCGGGUUGUAAACCGCUUUUGAUCGGGAGCAAGCCUUCGGGUGAGUGUACCUUUCGAAUAAGCACCGGCUAACUACGUGCCAGCAGCCGCGGUAAUACGUAGGGUGCAAGCGUUAUCCGGAAUUAUUGGGCGUAAAGGGCUCGUAGGCGGUUCGUCGCGUCCGGUGUGAAAGUCCAUCGCUUAACGGUGGAUCUGCGCCGGGUACGGGCGGGCUGGAGUGCGGUAGGGGAGACUGGAAUUCCCGGUGUAACGGUGGAAUGUGUAGAUAUCGGGAAGAACACCAAUGGCGAAGGCAGGUCUCUGGGCCGUUACUGACGCUGAGGAGCGAAAGCGUGGGGAGCGAACAGGAUUAGAUACCCUGGUAGUCCACGCCGUAAACGGUGGAUGCUGGAUGUGGGGCCCGUUCCACGGGUUCCGUGUCGGAGCUAACGCGUUAAGCAUCCCGCCUGGGGAGUACGGCCGCAAGGCUAAAACUCAAAGAAAUUGACGGGGGCCCGCACAAGCGGCGGAGCAUGCGGAUUAAUUCGAUGCAACGCGAAGAACCUUACCUGGGCUUGACAUGUUCCCGACAGCCGUAGAGAUAUGGCCUCCCUUCGGGGCGGGUUCACAGGUGGUGCAUGGUCGUCGUCAGCUCGUGUCGUGAGAUGUUGGGUUAAGUCCCGCAACGAGCGCAACCCUCGCCCUGUGUUGCCAGCACGUCAUGGUGGGAACUCACGGGGGACCGCCGGGGUCAACUCGGAGGAAGGUGGGGAUGACGUCAGAUCAUCAUGCCCCUUACGUCCAGGGCUUCACGCAUGCUACAAUGGCCGGUACAACGGGAUGCGACACGGCGACGUGGAGCGGAUCCCUGAAAACCGGUCUCAGUUCGGAUUGGAGUCUGCAACCCGACUCCAUGAAGGCGGAGUCGCUAGUAAUCGCGGAUCAGCAACGCCGCGGUGAAUGCGUUCCCGGGCCUUGUACACACCGCCCGUCAAGUCAUGAAAGUGGGUAGCACCCGAAGCCGGUGGCCUAACCCUUUGUGGAUGGAGCCGUCUAAGGGGGACUCGG